CCCUGGGAUCAAUCCCUCGUACAAAGUUGGGUGGGAGUAGGAGCGAGGCCUCCUACUCGUUCGGCGCCGCCGCCGCUCCAUCCCUUCGUAGUUGGGAUUGUACGAGAGAGUGCCAGAUCCGGCCCGGGAGCCGCCGUAGAGCCUCCACCUAGCAGAGGAGCAGCAGCAUCAACAGCCACACAGCUCGCCUCGCCGCACCGCAAAACAUCGAGGGCAGGGGCACCUAGCAGAGGAGCGCGCGGCAAGCUCGUCACCAUCAAAGCCCCGGCCCCUUUCUCGCCGGGCCAUGGCGGCGGCGGUUGACGGCACCCGGAAGCACGGGGCGGCGGCCUUCCUGGACGACCCCUUUGAGGUGCUGCAGGCGAAGCGGGGCCGGUGCUCGCCGUCCGCCGCCACGGUGCGGUCACCGACCUCGGCAUCAACAUGGAGUUCGACCCCGUCGAGGCGCUCCAGUCCGUAUUCCCCGGCGCCGAUCCGCAGAUGUACCCGGAGGUGAAGGGGAAAUUUCCGGCAGCCAAAAAAAUAUUUAAUAAGUUAUUACUAAUUUGGUCUGGAAUGAAGAGAACAAUGGGGAAGGAGUAAUUGGUAUAUUGGGGUUUCAGUGUGUAUUGCUAAAGCUAUUCUGUUGGGGGAACUGACCGGAAUUAGUGAAAAGUUUUGUCAGGGAUAAUAGGACUGACCCAACUGUUACCGGUGCCAUGCUUUUGGGGUCGACCAAAACAUUUAAAAACGUUAAAUGUGGUUAUGUGAUAAUAACAUAUAAUGUAUUAUUUGUGUUCAUUCCUUUAAUGUGGAUUAUAACAUGAUCUACCUUUGCAUCAACAUCGAGGACUACUUUUGGUUCAUAUUCAUGCAGCCACUUCUCGAUUUUGAGAUUUUUCACAUGUACUCAACUUGUCUUAGUCAGCCCAACUCAGCUGUAUGCAUGACAUUUAUAAAGUGACUCCGUAAAAUUCAUAAAAGACACUAUUCGUUUAUUCUGUUCUUCUGUUUCUUCCAGAUUUUUCUCUCCUCGCUUAUAAUUCGAUACUGUUGAUUCGAUUAGAUGACUCGGUCGAUGAUGUUGGGCAUGUCCAUGGUAUCCAUUGAAAACCUUAAAAAAAGUCUUGCACGGGAAUAAAAUUAGAUAGCACACCACUUAUGAGUCGAAACAUAUGCCAGCCAAGAUGGUACCAUAAAACUAGUAGAUUAGGUCCAUUCCAGCCGCUAAUUCUUUGUGCCAAUGCUAAGUAUGUGAAGUUGCACUGACUUUUAGUUACAUCUGAUGAUCUUUCCACAAAAAAUGUAGUAUAGAGUGUAAUAUUUACAGUGUGGGGAUGUUGGUGGCCAAGAAAGUUUAUGCCCUUGUGGAGACAUUACUGUGAAGUCCUAAGUUAUCCUGUAAAAAGGAUUCUUAUGAUAAGCAUGUAAAGCAACUUCUGAACUUUUUUGUAGAUAUUUAAGUGCCAAUACCAUCUUUUGGUAUAACACAGAAAAAUCAAGUUUUGAGGCCAGAGAUUUACCUUGCUUUUGCAUGUGCAUUACUUUAGCUAAUCAACCUGCUGUCGAGCUUUUAGUUGAAGUUCACUAAAUUUCUUAUACCGACA